AAAAAUUAAAAAAAAUGCUUGCUGAAGCAUUUUUACAAUAGUUGCUCUAAAGACUUAGAUAAUCCCAACACCUGUCUUCUCUGCGUUGGUGUGCAUUGGUUGUCUUUCCCAUGUGAGUUGAGAUGUUCCUGGUUCUUCAUAUUCUGAGUAAUUUUGAAUUGUAUGCUGGACAUCUUGAAUAUUAGGUAUGGACUCUUGGUCUUGUGUAAAUCCUAUGGAGUGUGUUGCCAUUUCUGUUUUAGGAGGCAUUCUCUUCACAUGCAGCCACCAUAGCUCUUGUCGUCGUGGCGGGGUCAGGACAAGGGAGGAAGGUGGGCCGUGGACGGGAAGGGGUCAGAUGGAGUGGGGUGAGUCUUUUGGGGGCAUUACUGGAGGUAUCUGGGUCCUGGGGGCACCAGGAACUGCCAACACAGGACAGACUCGAGAGUCCUCAGGGGGGCCCGGGUGAGGGUCGGAGAACCCAGCCCGCCGGGCACAGGCGGACGCAAUGCGCAUGCCCGGUGCCGCGCUUUCCCAGCAGCCCUCAGCGUCCGGGGCGCGUAACGGUCGGGGCGCCGGGCUGUGCGGGUUAGUCUUGCGGUCGUGCUUCUUUCCUGUUGGCUGAGGCUCAGUCCGUAGGUCCACGGAGCAGUCCUUCCAGGAGUCUAACCAUGAUGUGGAAUAUGAGUGGGCGAAUAACAUUAACAUUCCAACCUAGAGGAAGAAGAGAUGAUCAAGAAUCUUCCCCGCUAGUUGGGCCUGUGGUUACCCAGCAGCCCGGUGAUGUGCGACCUCAAGAAGAGGAACCACUAACUGAGAGUCAGGAUGUUGCACCUGAUCAUGAGAAGGAAGAUGAAGGCGCACUUGUGGUUCAAGGUGAAGGGAAAGGCAAGAAGAGCGCCUCUUGCAUGUUUAUGUGGGCGUGUUCAUGCAUUAUGUUAUACCAGUAACAAGAGGAAAGAAAACAAUAGAAAGGGAUCUCAAACAUGGCCUGCAAAUUGGCUGGAAAAGUAAACGGAGUGUACUUUGCAGCUUAGGGCAAUACUGCAUUGUAAGGAAUUUCUCCCAUUUUAUAAAUGAGCAAAUUGAGGCUCAAGGAUUGUAUUUCUCAAAGAGCACUUGACUGUUGAUUACAAAAUCUGUAUUUCAUUCCAAAGUUUGUGUCUGCCUACCACCUAUGUUGCUGUAAAAAAAUGUGAAUGAUUUUACUUAAAAUGCUUAAGACUCAAUUGUCUGUACUGUAAGGGAGCUUGGUACUGGCCCAGAGGUAAAUACAGUACAGCGGAGCAGGAUGGAGACUCCAGAAAAGAGCUCAGUGAAUGAUAGGCACUGUUUCCUUUGAUUGAUAUUGUGAUGUGUAAGUUUGGUAAAAGCUGACUAAUUCAGGAUACUGGCAUAUAGGUAGCUGGCUUAGUAUUAUUUUUUAAGUGGCUUUUAAAAGGUGGGUAAAUCAUUCUAUGGUUAGAAAAAUCAAAAAGUGAAUUUCCUAAUAUUAACAUGAGACAUAAAUUAUUUCUCCCAGAUAUAUAGAGUAUUUUGAAGCAAAAUAUUUACAUAACUCAGGCCACUGUUAAAGGUUUCUGGAAUAUGACUGACAACAAUGCCCAUUCAUGUGUUUCCACCCCACUUCCUUUAUUCUCACUGUAAGACAAUAUAUUUGCGAUUGUUCACAAACAAUUUUGCUGUUAUUUUUGGUGCUUUGUUCUACAUGGGAUUCAUUUAUGGAACUUUACACUUAGGGCCUCUGGCUCUAAAUAGAACUUUCUGGUUACCCCAGUAGGGGACAGGUGUCACACUAUAAGAUUUAUCAUAGGCCUGCAAAUCCACUCAGCUAAUCUUUCAGAAAAUUGCAUUUUAAUUGUAAUUGAAAUCCUAUCCAUGCUGUAGACUUCAUAGAUAGCUGAUGCUCACUGCUGUUUGUACCCUAUGGCAAAAUACAGGAAUUAUACAUGUAUUAUGGUUUAUCCUUAUAUUGUCAUUUAAAAUAAAGGUUUCAUAAUACAGGAAAACAAA